CGCCGCCAUCUUCAGUCGGUAAUGGUGGCGUGAGGCAGCUUAAAGGCUCUUGCUGGCUUUGCUGCAAAUUCUGGUUUAUUUAUCUUCCGGGCCAGGGCCACAGACACAUGUAGUCCCACAUGGAGGAAUCCUGUUGUGGAGGACCAUAAAGAAAAGACUGCUGUCCAAACUCCAGUGCCCUGUAUCCCGAGGUGGCAUGGGUCAGGCCCAGUGGUGAUUUUAGCAUGUAAAUAUUGUUGGGGCAAACAAAACAAAAAAUUUGGGUUGUAUGCCAGCAAAGACACAACACUAAACAAUACAUUAAUUGCACUAUAACGGUGACAAACGGUGCCCACAAACUGUUAGGGCCUACAUAAAGCUGUCCCAACAGCAGUCCAACAUCUUACCACUGCUACAUCUGGCUAUCAGCGGAGCCUUGUCUGGCAGCAAAACAGUUCAUUCAGCCUCAUUUACUGCCUUUAAAAAAGACACGGCUGAUAUGGCUGACUUGUUUAAACAAAUGUGGUUUCUACUGACAAUUGAGAUGUACAAACUAUGGCAUAAGUGACAACAAGCGGGUCAUUUUGAUUCAGACAUUAAUGAGCGAGCUAGGACGGACUUCAAUAUAACUAUUUGUUCAGCACUUUUGAAAUGUACAGCGACAGAAUUCAGAACAUGGGCCGUUCUUAAAGUGUUCUCCCUCUACACCAAGUCAGAACCGCAGGAUAAUUAAAGGGGGCAUAUAAGCAGACAAUGAAAGCUCUUACAAUAUUCGAUGAUCACAUUUCUCAAAAACAGGUUAUAGGCUACAUGUGCAUCACCAAGUCAGAACAGUAGGUGAAAUUAAGAGGUGAAAAUAGACAAUUAUUAGGGUGAGGCACAUGGGCUACUAACAUCUUACUACACAACAUACAAUUAGUAUUACUUUCUUAGCUACAGAACACAUAUCUCCUUGGCAUAUUACAUAAUUUAUGCGGCAGCAGACAAUACAUUUUUGGACUCACCUUGUUGUGCUGUGCUCACUUGAACAGGAAGGUGGUGCAGCAGUCCUUUGUGGGCAAAUUUUGUCAAACUUUUAUUACUAUCUGGAUUUAUGGUGCUUUCAAGACAACUGGGAACCCCCCCCCCCCCCAAAAAAAGGUUGAAUCACAACCAACUUGUUGUGUAAUAUUUAUGUCCAAUCGCCGAUGAGCACCGAUACGUUUUAUCUAUAAUUUUUCUUCAUUAUUUAUCUUCAUAUGGCAAGGAUUAAAAAGGAUAUGCCAACAGAUUGUCGACUUGAUUCAUGAUGAUGACUGCCGGCUAAGGGAGUACUCCAAGGCUCGAUGCUAGGCUCCACGCUCUUCUCAAUUUACAACAACAUAGCUCAGGCAAUAGGAAGCUCUCUCAUCCAUUUAUAUGCAUAUGAUACAGUCUUAUACUCAGAUGGCCCCUCCCCUGAUGGCCCCUCCCUGAUUCCCCAAGCUUUCUCUACCCUUAACCUUGUUCUGAACACCUCCAAAAUAAAGGUUAUGUGGUUUGGUAAGAAGAAUGCCCCUCUCCCCACAGGUGUGAUUACUACCGCUGAGGGUUUAGAGCUUGAGGUAGUCACUUAUCGUAAGAGUAGGGGUGUUAACCCCGGUGUCCUGGCUAAAUUCCCAAUCUGGCCCUCAAACCAUCAUGGUCACCUAAUAAUCCCCAGUUUACAAUUGGCUCAUUCAUCCCCCUCCUCUCCCCUGUAACUAUUCCCCAGGUCGUUGCUGCAAAUGAGAACGUGUUCUCAGUCAACUUACCUGGUAAAAUAACGGUAAAAUAAAAAAAAUAUUUAAAAAAAUUGUCUGCCGGCUUGCCCCACCACCACAGAAAGCACUGAGCUAUGCUGAAGCAACUGCAUUUUGGAGCUGCCUUAGUCAAGAAAAUAAAAAAGAGACCAUGUUUGUAUGCAGCUUUAUUAACUCUUUGAUUGAUUGAUAUAUAUAUAUAUAUAUAUCAAUCAAUCUCAGCAAAAAAAAAAUGUCCUCUCACUGUCAACUGUGUUUGUUUCAGCAAACAAAUAUUUGUAUGAACAUAACAAGAUUCAACAACUGAGACAUAAACUGAACAAGUUUCACAGACAUGUGACUAACAGAAAUGUAAUAAUGUAUCCCUGAACAAAGGGGUGGUCAAAAUCAAGAGUAACAGUCAGUAUCUGGUGUGGCCACCAGCUGCAUUAAGUACUGCAGUGCAUCUCCUCAUGGAAUGCACCAGAUUUGCCAGUUCUUGCUGUGAGAUGUUACCCCACUCUUCCACCAAGGAAGAUGUUACCCCACUCUUCCACCGGACAUUUCUGGGGGGAAUGGCCUUAGGCCUCACCCUCCGAUCCAACAGGUCCCAGACGUGCUCAAUGGGAUUGAGAUCCGGGCUCUUCGCUGGCCAUGGCAGAACACUGACAUUCCUGUCUUGCAGGAAACCACACACAGAACGAGCAGUAUGGCUGGUGGCAUUGUCAUGCUGGAGGGUCAUGUCAGGAUGAGCCUGCAGGAAGGGUACCACAUGAGGGAGGAGGAUGUCUUCCCUGUAACGCACAGCUUUGAGAUUUCCUGCAAUGACAACAAACUCAGUCCGAUGAUGCUGUGACACACUGCUGCAGACCAAGACGGACCCUCCACCUCCAAAUCGAUCCCGCUCCAGAGUACAGGCCUCGGUGUAACGUUCAUUCCUUCGAUGAUAAACGCGAAUCCAACCAUCACCCCUGGUGAGAUAAAACUGCCACUCGUCAGUGAUGAGCACUUUUUGCCAGUCCUGUCUGGUCCAGUGACGGUGGAUUUGUGCCCAUAGGCGACUUGUUGUCGGUGAUGUCUGGUGAGGACCUGCUUUACAACAGGCCUACAAGCCCUCAGUCCAGCCUCUCUCAGCCUAUUGCGGACAGUCUGAGCACUGAUGGUGGGAUUGUGCAUUCCUGGUGUAACUCGGGCAGUUGUUGUUGCCAUCUUGUACCUGUCCCGCAGGUGUGAUGUUCGGAUGUACCGAUCCUGUGCAUGUGUUGUUACACGUGGUCUGCCACUGAGAGGAUUAUCAGCUGUCCAUCCUGUCCCCCUGUAGCACUGUCUUAGGCGUCUCACAGUACAGACAUUGCAAUUUAUUGCCCUGGCCACAUCUGCAGUCCUCAUGCCUCCUUGCAGCAUGCCUAAGGCACGUUCACACAGAUGAGCAGGGACCCUGGACAUAUUUCCUUUGGUGUUUUCAGAGUCAGCAGAAAGGCCUCUUUAGUGUCCUAAGUUUUUUCAUAACUGUGACCUUAAUUGCCUACUGUCUGUAAGCUGUUAGUGUCUUAACGACCGUUCCACAGGUGCAUGUUCAUUAAUUGUUUAUGGUUCAUUGAACACGCAUGGGAAACAGUGUUUAAACCCUUUACAAUGAAGAUCUGUGAAGUUAUUUGGAUUUUGACUAAUUAUCUUUGAAAGACAGAGUCCUGAAAAGGGGACGUUUCUUUUUUUGCUGAGUUUCUUUUUUUAUACAUUGUUUGCAAACUGAUAUGUGACAUGUAUUAAUGCCAAAAUAAUAUGCAAAACAGGCAAUCCCCAAAAACAUGUGGCGUUCAAAACAGGUGGGGCUCUGAAUAAUGGGUCGCCACUGGUCAGGCCACAUGUAAGACCAGGGUGCUUGUUACAGUGAGAUACUGUUCUAUUACUGGUACUGCAGCUACAUUUUAUUACUGUUUUACACUCUGUCCAGUAUUAUCCAUUAGAAGGCAAUGCAGUGUGUUUAUAUGAGACACACAUUGCUCCAUCAAGCAAGGUUUCACUUAAUGUCUAUUACUACAUGAACACACAUCAAUCUCAUAGAUUCUCUGCAACCGCAUCUAUCGUGUCUUUCAACUUCUGUAAUCUACAUAAUCACUUGGCAUCAUGAUUCACUUCAAAUGAAUAAAUUGUCAAAAUAAAAA